UACAGAGGGUGCAAGCGUUGUUCGGAAUUAUUGGGCGUAAAGGGCGCGUAGGCGGUGCUGUAAGUCUGUAGUGAAAUCUCUGGGCUCAACUCAGAGUCUGCUAUAGAAACUGCAGUGCUGGAGUGUGGGAGAGGUGAGUGGAAUUCCCGGUGUAGCGGUGAAAUGCGUAGAGAUGUGGAGGAACACCAGUGGCGAAGGCGACUCUUUGGUCUGUAACUGACGCUGAGGCGCGAAAGCGUGGGGGAGCAAACAGG
rnacentral:rRNA from 1 species